rnacentral:rRNA from 1 species
UUACCGUGAAAAAAUUAGAGUGUUCAAAGCGGGCAGAUAUUUUUCCUGCCACCGAAUACAUUAGCAUGGGAUAAUGGAAUAGGACCCUGACCUCCUAUUUUCAGUUGGUUUUGUUUACAGCGAGGUUAUAUCAGGGUAAUGAUUAAUAGGGAUAGUUGGGGGCAUUAAUAUUUAAUUGUCAGAGGUGAAAUUCUUGGAUUUAUGAAAGAUUAACUUCUGCGAAAGCGUUUGCCAAGGAUGUUUUCAUUAAUCAAGAACGAAAGUUAGGGGAUCGAAGACGAUCAGAUACCGUCGUAGUCUUAACCAUAAACGAUGCCGACCAGCGAUUAGGAGACGUUGAAUACAAAACACCGCUGUUAAUCCUUUCGGGGGUUAAUAGUUGGUGAAUGACUCCCCUAGCAGCUUGUGAGAA